rnacentral:rRNA from 1 species
UAAGCCUGUGAAGGUGGCCUGUGAGGGUUGCUGGAGGUAUCAGAAGUGCGAAUGCUGACAUAAGUAACGAUAAAGCGGGUGAAAAGCCCGCUCGCCGGAAGACCAAGGGUUCCUGUCCAACGUUAAUCGGGGCAGGGUGAGUCGACCCCUAAGGCGAGGCCGAAAGGCGUAGUCGAUGGGAAACGGGUUAAUAUUCCCGUACUUGGUGUUACUGCGAAGGGGGGACGGAGAAGGCUAUGUUGGCCGGGCGACGGUUGUCCCGGUUUAAGCGUGUAGGUGUGUGUUCCAGGUAAAUCCGGUUCACUUUAACACUGAGGCGUGAUGACGAGGUACUACGGUGCUGAA